UGGGGAAUAUUGGACAAUGGGCGCAAGCCUGAUCCAGCCAUGCCGCGUGUGUGAAGAAGGCCUUCGGGUUGUAAAGCACUUUUGUCCGGAAAGAAAAGCAUUCGAUUAAUACUCGGGUGUUAUGNCGGUACCGGAAGAAUAAGCACCGGCUAACUUCGUGCCAGCAGCCGCGGUAAU
rnacentral:rRNA from 1 species